GAUCCUGGCUCAGGAUGAACGCUAGCUACAGGCUUAACACAUGCAAGUCGAGGGGCAUCAGGGUGUAGCAAUACACCGCUGGCGACCGGCGCACGGGUGAGUAACACGUAUCCAACCUGCCCUUUACUCGGGGAUAGCCUUUCGAAAGAAAGAUUAAUACCCGAUGGCAUAACAUGACCUCCUGGUUUUGUUAUUAAAGAAUUUCGGUAGAGGAUGGGGAUGCGUUCCAUUAGGCAGUUGGCGGGGUAACGCCC
rnacentral:rRNA from 1 species